rnacentral:piRNA from 1 species
UGCCGCUGCGGUGUGUGUUCCAAGCC